ACACACUACAAUUUUCUUUACCAAUUGACUUAAGGAGUUAUCCUAGGACCAAUUCAACUCGUAUGCAAUAGGUCAACCACGACGCGAUUCGAUCUAAGCAACCACAGCAGCGGCAACAGCAGCAGCAGCAACAACAACAAGAAGAAAACGGCUGCCAAAUUGAGCGUGAUCUCCUCUCGAUCUACCGGUAGCGAGACCACAACCAGGCAGAGAAUCAAUUGAGAUCAAACGGAGUGACCGGACGUAGGUAUAUGGAUCGGGUGUGGAGACCUGCUGUUGCAUCCUGGCGAGGUCGUCGGAGGACAUGCGUCGCAUCUGCUCCUGCGCCAGCCGCAUCAUCUCCGGAUCCAUCANAUUGAGCGUGAUCUCCUCUCGAUCUACCGGUAGCGAGACCACAACCAGGCAGAGAAUCAAUUGAGAUCAAACGGAGUGACCGGACGUAGGUAUAUGGAUCGGGUGUGGAGACCUGCUGUUGCAUCCUGGCGAGGUCGUCGGAGGACAUGCGUCGCAUCUGCUCCUGCGCCAGCCGCAUCAUCUCCGGAUCCAUCAUGGCGGCUGCGCCACCAAGCAAUCCCCAACACGCAGAUCGAAGGGACCGAUGGGAUCGACGCGACAACCAAGCAGCGACCGGGAGCU
rnacentral:lncRNA from 1 species